AUGUGCAUUGCAGGGCAACUACUCCGUUGGCAGAGGGAUGGAUUGGAUAUGGCUGAUGGCUUCCAUUUUAUCCCAUCUCUGUCUGCCAAAGGAGAUUUGCCCCGCGAUUCACCC
rfam:Oryza meridionalis cultivar OR44 (W2112) chromosome 3, whole genome shotgun sequence.